rnacentral:rRNA from 1 species
AGAGUUUGAUCCUGGCUCAGAACGAACGCUGGCGGCAUGCCUAACACAUGCAAGUCGAACGAAGUCUUCGGACUUAGUGGCGCACGGGUGCGUAACGCGUGGGAAUCUGCCCUUGGGUACGGAAUAACUCAGAGAAAUUUGUGCUAAUACCGUAUAAUGUCUUCGGACCAAAGAUUUAUCGCCCAAGGAUGAGCCCGCGUAAGAUUAGCUAGUUGGUGGGGUAAAGGCCUACCAAGGCGACGAUCUUUAGCUGGUCUGAGAGGAUGAUCAGCCACACUGGGACUGAGACACGGCCCAGACUCCUACGGGAGGCAGCAGUGGGGAAUAUUGGACAAUGGGCGAAAGCCUGAUCCAGCAAUGCCGCGUGAGUGAUGAAGGCCUUAGGGUUGUAAAGCUCUUUACCAGGGAUGAUAAUGACAGUACCUGGAGAAUAAGCUCCGGCUAACUCCGUA